rnacentral:rRNA from 1 species
AUCCUAGCUGUAAACGAUGCUCACUAGAUGUGGGAGGUAUCGACCCCUUCCGCGUCGCAGCUAACGCGUUAAGUGAGCCGCCUGGGGAGUACGGCCGCAAGGUUAAAACUCAAAGGAAUUGACGGGGCCCCGCACAAGCAGCGGAGCAUGCGGCUUAAUUCGACGCAACGCGAAGAACCUUACCAAGGCUUGACAUAUACAGGAAUACGGCAGAGAUGUCGUAGCCGCAAGGUCUGUAUACAGGUGGUGCAUGGUUGUCGU